rnacentral:rRNA from 1 species
UACAGAGGGUGCGAGCGUUAAUCGGAAUUACUGGGCGUAAAGCGUGCGUAGACGGUUAUUUAAGUCAGGUGUGAAAGCCCCGGGCUCAACCUGGGAAUUGCAUUUGAGACUGAAUAGCUAGGGUGCGGAAGAGGGAAGCGGAAUUUCCGGUGUAGCGGUGAAAUGCGUAGAUAUCAGAAGGAACACCAGUGGCGAAAGCGGGUCUCUGGACAGUUCCUGACACUGAGGCACGAAGGCCAGGGGAGCAAACGGG